rnacentral:rRNA from 1 species
CCCCAUUCCCAUACCACCCUGAACACACCUGAUCUCAUUUGAUUUCCAAAGCUAAGCAAGGUUGGACCUGAUUAGGACUUAUAUAUAGGAUCAUAAGGUAAGAGUAAGGA